CGCGACCCUCUUCUUCGCGUAGUGUUUUCAGGUUGCUCCUGGAAACCAUGCCGAAAGUAGUGUCUCGGUCUGUAGUCUGCUCUGACAUUCGGGACCGGGAGGAAUAUGACGACGGUGAGAAGCCCCUCCAUGUGUACUACUGUUUGUGCGGCCAGAUGGUCCUAGUGCUGGACUGUCAGUUAGAGAAAUUGCCUAUGAGGCCCCGGGACCGGUCCCGUGUGAUUGAUGCUGCCAAACAUGCCCAUAAGUUUUGUAACAUAGAAGAUGAAGAGACUGUGUAUCUGCGGAGACCUGGAGGCACUGAACGACAGUACAGAAAGAAAUGUGCAAAGUGUGGACUGCCGCUCUUCUACCAAUUCCAGCCAAAGAAUGCUCCCGUUACCUUCAUUGUGGAUGGAACAGUAGUCAAGUUUGGCCAGGGCUUUGGGAAAACGAACAUAUAUACUCAGAAACAAGAGCCUCCUAAGAAGGUGAUGAUGACCAAACGGACCAAAGACAUGGGCAAGUUCAGUUCUGUCACUGUGUCUACCAUUGAUGAAGAGGAAGAGGAGAUUGAGGCUAGGGAAGUUGCUGACUCGUAUGCACAGAAUGCCAAAGUGAUUGAAAAACAGCUGGAGCGCAAAGGCAUGAGCAAGAGACGACUGCAAGAGCUGGCUGAACGGGAAGCCAAGAAAGCGAAAAUGAAGGGGACCUUGAUUGACAACCAGUUCAAAUAACCAGGCUUUUUUCUGAGCCCUAGACUGGAAGCAAGCAUUUAGAU